AAUUCUGGUUACUUCCUCUUUCAGUCUUUCUGUGCCUUCUCUUCUAUUCUCAGGACAGCCCCCAUUAGCAUGUGUCUCCGGAAGGACUGAGUGGGGGGCAGGGUGUCGGGUCCCUGGGAAACUCAUUUGCAUACCUCUUGUGACAAAGGCGACUACAUGCUGGUUAAGACAAUGUGCUGUCUGAUAAACAGACCGUGUCUCCAGUGUCUGCUGGGCUUGUGCCAGAGAGUGGCUGCCUUUGAUACAGGUGCUGUUUAUUCUUCCUGGAAGUCCAAGGACAGGACAAACUGUUACAGGACCUGCGGUCACAGCCUGUGCCCUAGUGAACCAGGUUUGGCCACCAGUUAAAAAAGCUAAAUUAAUAUUGAAAAGCAGAAAAAGCAGAAAAAGGAGAUUUAUUCAAUGUAGCUACAUGGGGAGGAGGAAUAGAAAGAUCCAGUGACUCCCCUUCCUCAAAUCUAUCUUUGGAGUCCUGACAGGAGGAUGAGGUUUAAAUAGAAAGCAAGAGACAUACAAACUGAGCCGUCUGGCCAAGGUGUGGUCCGCCAUUGUCUGGGCUCCAAGUCUCUCCGGCAAAGCCCCUGAUGAGUUGUAACUCUUUCUAGUGGAGACAGCUUUCCUCUGGCUGUCCCCAGGCUUCAGUAUUUUCUUGUCCUGGAAGGAGAUCCCUGGGGCGAUUCCUCUGGGUCCCGAGAGAGGGACACAGGCAGCCCAGCACACACAGAUAAAAAGGAAAUGGAAGAUUAAACAAUUAACUGGGGACAGAGAACUUGCGGCUUCAGAAUCUGGAUAAAGUGGACCAGAAGGAUGGCUCAACCGUCAAGAGCACUGCUUGCAGAGCGCCAGGGUGGUUCCUAGCACCAGCAUAGUGACUUACUGUCUAUAACUACAGUUCUAGAGGCUCCAGUACCCCUUCUGAGCCCUGGGGAACCUGGGCAUCCAUUGACUGCACAUAGAUGCAGCUGAUGACUCUGAGACACCAUCCUUUUUGGCAGUGGAGGCUAGAAAUCUCUCAAUUCAGCUUGGCAUUUCCUGUUCUACUUAGAAGACAUUCAAAUCUAAAUGUGACAUAGUUGAAGACCCAUCUCUAUCGAAACAGACAGAAGAAUAUCUUGGUUCCCUUUCUAUGGCUGUGAUGUGACAACAGGAUGACCAAGACGGAAGGGAUUAUUUGGGGCUCCCGGUUCCAGAGAGUUAGAGUUCGUCAUCAUCACCGUGGCAAGGGGCAUGGUCAGGUCUGAAGAGAAAAUCCUCACUCCUGCUUUAUCGAUCUUCAAACCUCCCAGCAGAUCAUGAUACAUCCAUAUCCUCUGUUCCUGUUCUUCUCUGGAAGUGUGACAAGCAGCAACAUGGAUAGAGAGCAUGUACACAUGCAUGUAAAGCCCCUGCACCAGCAGAUGCGCUGGCCCUGUGUACGGGGUAAUUCACGGUGAGCGCAGGAAAGAGCAUGUGUGAGAUUUUUGUCUCUCAGCAGCACCUGCUGCAUUGGCGGAAUUAGUCUUUCUAUUGAACACUUUACCCCUGAAACUUGUGGCCAGCCACCGUCUUGAAGAAGGUAUGACAGAAUGGAGUGGCGAUACUGAGACGCGGGUGGAUGGCGAAGAGGGGAGCAGGUGUGAACUCAAGUGUGCUGUCUGUGCUUAGCUCGGCUGCCCACGGAGUUUUCUCCAGUUCUUUGUGUCCCUGGCGAAGGCUAUGAGGUCUUCUGCUCCUAACAGCCCGCACCCCAGACACACUCAGACACCUCCCACAGGGUGUGAGCAUUGUUCUUGUCUUAGAUUCAGGUGCUUGAAGACCCUGCAGCUCCUGGUGGGGUCUGGACUGGGGAGGUGCUUGAAAGUUCAGCUUCUUUGCUGUUAUCUGGAAUAAACUGAGA